rnacentral:rRNA from 1 species
CAGCAGCCGCGGGAAUACGUAGGGUGCAAGCGUUAAUAGGAAUUACUGGGCGUAAAGCGUGCGCAGGCGGUUAUAUAAGUCAGAUGUGAAAUCCCCGGGCUCAACCUGGGAACUGCAUUUGAGACUGUAUGGCUAGAGUGUGUCAGAGGGGGGUAGAAUUCCACGUGUAGCAGUGAAAUGCGUAGAUAUGUGGAGGAAUACCGAUGGCGAAGGCAGCCCCCUGGGAUAACACUGACGCUCAUGCACGAAAGCGUGGGGAGCAAACAGGAUUAGAUACCCCUGUAGUCCCUGUCUCUUAUAC